AUUGAACGCUGGCGGCAGGCCUAACACAUGCAAGUCGAGCGGAGCGGCGGACGGGUGAGUAAUGCCUAGGAAUCUGCCUGGUAGUGGGGGAUAACGUCCGGAAACGGGAGCUAAUACCGCAUACUAUCAGAUGAGCCUAGGUCGGAGUAGCUAGUUGGGUGGGUAAAGGCCUACCAAGGCGUCGGUCCGUAACUGGUCUGAGAGGAUGAUCAGUCACACGGUAAGUGAGCACCGUUCCAACCUCCACCGGAGGGCGUCGGGGGGGAAUUUCUGCCAAUGAGCGAAGUCCUGAUCCAGCCCUGCCGGUUGUGUGAAGAAGGUCUUCGGAUUUUAAAGCACUUUAAGCUGGGAGGCGUUACCAACAGAAUAAGCACCGGCUAACUUCGUGCCAGCAGCCGCGGUAAUAC
rnacentral:rRNA from 1 species